UGCUACUACUACUACUACUUCUACUACCACUACUAAAACUACUUCUAUGACUACUAUUACUACUACUACGAAGACUACAUGCUGCUUUUUCUAUUUCUACGACUAUUAACAUUAUUAUUACUACUACCACUUCUACUACUACUAUUACUACUACCACUACUACUACUACUACUACUACUACUACUACUAUUGCUCUUUUCUCUACUUUUAACUUUUAAAACUAGUGAUACUACUACUACUACUACUACUACUACAACUACAUGUACUACUAGAACUACUAUUACUACUGCUGCUGCUGCUUUUUCUACUUCUAAGACUAAUAACUUUACUACUACUGCGACUACUACUAUUAUAAUACUACUAUUACAUGUACUUCUUUUUCUACUUCUAAGACUACUUCUACUACCACUACUUAAACUACUACUACUACUACUACUACUACUACUACUACUACUACUGCUGCUGCUGCUACUACUACUACUACUACUGCUACUGCUGGUUUUUCUACUUUUAAUACUACUAAUAUUACUACUACUACAACUACAUGUAAUACUACAAUUACUAUUACUACUGCUGCUGCCUUUUCUACUUCUAAGACUUCUUACAUUACUACUACUACUUCUAAUACUACUACUACUGUACUAGUAGUAGUAGUAGUUACUAAUCAAUUGGUUGGUUGAUUUGAACAUACUGUAUUGUAUAUUAAUAUCUAUAAGUUGCAAACAAUCAGUAUGCUCGACGAUUCAUCAAUAUUAGUCAAGAACCGACAGUAAUGAACGGUUCCUGAAUAUAUAUUUUUAUUGCAUGAUACGAAAUUAGUACAAAUAUUAUUAUUCUAACAACGACUAAAACAAACUUGUAAAAGAAAAGAUAAGGAGUGAUAGAUAUUUACAGUUCGGUUGAUUUUCAAAUGAAUUUUACAUUAAUAAAUACACUGUUCGUUAUCUUCACCUUGCAUAUACAUGUGUGUGUUUUUAAAUAAAAGUUUGUUGUUAACUGCAUUUCUUACACCAAUUUCUUUAUCUUAAAACACAUUUUAUUAGUGUCUUUUGUGUGGUUUCUGGAUAAGUUAAUUUAAGCACAUUUCUAAAAUAUAUUUAAUCUGUAGCCUUAACCCCUUCUCUACCGUACCGGUCAAUUUGACCGAUGGCGCGUAAAAACAGGACUACGCAAAAGGAGUGCAUCUAAAUCUUUGAAACUACGGUCAUAAGAUAUCUGAUCUAUCUAUCAUAUUUUUGGAAAUUUUCUCUAUGUUUUGACUAUGUAAAAAUCAAUAAAGUAAGUAAAGCCAUUAGAUUAAAAAAAGCAUUUAAAGUGAAGGAUGGCUUCGUCUAAAUAUGACGCAACGCUUUGUCGCAAGGUCAUUUUCCCCUUCAAUAUGAUUUUUUUUUUAUUUUCCUUAUGAAUUCAAUAUUUUUUUUAUAUUUUUGAAAAUCAUAUAUUCCCUGCUUUCAGAAGAUAUAAAAAUUAUUUUUAAUGCCCAGCAAAGUUAUAAGAAAAUAGCAAUUUUUUGCACAUGUACGUUUUCUUACGAUUUUAUUUCUAAAUGUUUAAACAUAUCGGCGUUUUACCUAUAUUUAUAUAUGGAAAUAGGGAAAAGUAAAUACAGCCUGUAAAAGUAGAUAUUAUAAUUCUCGGUAGUUUUUAUAUUAUGAUAAAAUGAAAUUAGGACAUGCUGCUCGGUUUUCUUUAAAAUUAGACACAAAACGUCGUCGCUAAAAGCGAUCGACGCGCGUCGCAAAGUGGUGAAAACUAUAAAAUGUGUAUUGUCCUCUUUUAGUAAAUUCAGUACCUUUUGAUACACUAAAACAAUAUACACAUAUGUAUGAAAUAAUCAGCCAGGUAUUCUCUGCUUUUUUAAAAAAAAGCAUAAAACCAAUAUUGGUAUAUAACAGUUACACAACCUACAUGUAACUUCAUAAAACACUUACUGAGAAUGUUACAUCCGCAGAGAGUAAAUUAAAAAAAAAAAGAUAAAUAAAAUACUUCAAAUUCAGAUAUAAACGUUAUAUUUGUUCGGAAUAGUAAUAUUUUUUCCCAUACCAAACAAAGAAAACUAAAAAGAAGUUGGCAUAAAGCCUAUAAGUCUAUACUUUUAUUUUUCCGUGAUCGGGAUCGCGGGGUUUUCUGAAAGUGUGCACGGGCAACACACGUGUUUCCGUUUCAACGAAAACAACACAGCUUCACUGUGACUGUCACAGGGAAGGCUUGUAUUUUACAUCAUUAAAACGACCUGAUGUCAGAAGAAGAUGCCCUGGAUCUCCUGUUGCAGGAUGACCCAAACGAUCAUGCAUUCAGUAUAAACAUGUACAUGUAAGUUGAUGUAGCCGCAUAGGCUGACUAGGAAAAAAAAAUUGCAGUUUUGUCAUGUUAUGAAAAAUUCACGAUUAAUUAACGCGAUUUGAUGCCAUAAUUUUUCGUUUCAUGAAAGAAAAUAUUUAUAUUUUAUGAUUCCUAAACCAAGUGUUUAUUAAGAGCUGACAUCAUUUAAUCUGUCCUGGUCCGGCAUUAAUCCGUCUGAUUAGCACCCCCCUUUUUCCAGAAUUCUCUCCUUACCUGACGCGCGAGUGUAAGAAGUGGGUGGAUUUACUGUGCAAUGAGAAGGGGAAUGGGGUGGUUUUAAUUAGACUGGGCAUUCAUGACCGUUGGUGAGAAGGCUAUUUUCCAGGAUUUUUCCAUGUUUAUAAAAAUUAUCUUUCUAUGAAAAGAAAACACAAUCUGUUAGGAAAACACAUAUUACGUCAUUGUAAUGAUAGAAUUUAUUAUCAUGAUUUGAAUUAUUUUCUUCAUAUUGUAACAGAAAUAUAAACGAAAUGUGUGUUUGGGCCGAAAUGGGGGGGGGGGGGGGGGGGUGUACGUAACAUCAUCAAAGUCUGAUUAUGACAGGCCAAUGAAAAGUCAUAUAGAUUUCUCUUUUAUCCAAAUUAAUGUAUUUUAUAUACACUUAGUAGCUUAUGACCAUAAAUUACAUGUCAUCCAUACAUGCUGGUACUGGUAUGCUAUGAGCUAUGAUCUUGCCUAGAUUUUCUCUAAUUUCAACUAAAUCCACACCCCAUCAGAGUACCAUGCAAGGGGAUUUAGACACUGUGUAACAUGAAGAACCAGUUCAAUUCUACUUUUAUAUCUGGGGUCAUAUACUUUCCCUCAGAGUUGCAGUAUUUUUGUUGGACCAGAAUUUCUUCAGUACCCCCCCCCCCCCUCCCCUGUAUAUGCUAGGCAUAAUGCUGACACCUACAUGAUGCAUAUCUUUUUUUUUCAUUACGCACUCUGCUACACUCGCAAUGUAUAAUAAAAUAUUCCAUUCAUUUCUAACACAUGUACGCAAUCCCCUACCAAAUGUCACUUAAAAUAAAGGACAUCUCUUAUCUUUAAAUAAGUUUGAGCUGUACUUAAGUGCGAAACUGUCCCGUGCUACCAUGAAACAUAUUUUGCUUUAAAAAAUAAACCAACAAUUCUUAAUUGUAAUUUCUUUUCAUCUUUAAAAAGGGUAUUGACAUCCCAAUAUUUAGGGGGAAGUUCCCAGGUAUCGUCCACUAGUGACAGUGUACUGGCAAAGCCAGACAUGCAUUGGAAGGAUGAUGUUAUGAAGGACACAGGGACACCUGAUCCAAGAACUGUGACAUUUCAUUCGGAGCGACAGCCUGGCAUUCAGUUGAUAUGGGACCCGAUUAUUCAGAGAACUGCAUAUUUUAUGAAGCUGUUUUUGACAGAAGACUUGGGUUUUCUCCAUCUGUGUUGUCACCAACCAUUAUGCUGAGAUGGUCAUAUCUAGGGGGAAGGAUUGUCAUUAUGCUUCCCAAGGAAGUUCGCAUCCUCUCACUGAAGAGCAAUGAUUUUUGUGCAUUAUCUGAUACAUGUCUGCUGUGAAGUUCCAGUCGAUAGACAGAUAUUGGUCAAUACAUGCCCCUAUCGGAACAACCCAGUACAGUGUAUCAAGAAUGAUGUCUAGAAAUAGGUUUUAAGAGGUUGAAUAUAAGAACAUUUUUGUUAAAUAUGAUGCAAGUACAUUUAAAUCUAGUGAUUGAAAGUAAGUACUUGAACAUUCGUAUACGUUGAACUUAGAGAGGAAAAACGGGUAGUACUUUUUGAUAACAUUUGAUAAGGUGCUGUUGCUUAGCAACCAAAUAUAUUUGAAUGCAAAAAAUUUAAUUAUUUUAGAUUAACAAUAAAGAUCUUUGUUUUAAUGUUGCAAUAUAUAUUCUAAUUAGUGAAACAUAAUGGCAAAACGUCAUAUUAUUAGAAAAUGAUGGAUAUGUACAAUGUAUAUAAAGUACAAAGUUUCCAUUUUAUGACCUUUGACCUUAAUUCUCAUUAUCAUAUUUUUUGUUAAAAACCUUUUUAAAUGAUUAGGAUUUAUUUAAAGAUUAUAUUUUUAAAAUAAUGUGACAUUUACUAAUCAUCAUUCAAUGUAAUUAUGUUUAAAUUGUGUCGAAUGUAUGCAGAAAGGCAAAUUAUGGUCAAAAUUGUACUAUGAAUGUUGUUACUUAGCAACCAAAAAUAUUUGUUUCUCAAUAAAAUUGAUUAAUUUGA